rnacentral:pre_miRNA from 1 species
CUGACGCUCUGCUGCCUCCAGGGAGCAGGGCCAGGGUGGGGGGCAAGGUCCGGUGGCCCUGGCCCUGCUCCCUGGAGAUGGCAGAGUGCAAC